UCGUAGGUUACGUCGGGUCAUCACUUCCUGUUGGACGGUCACGUUGUCAUCAAUGAGGUAAAUAAUGAAAAUAAAGUUUUAAACGGAGUUAAAAACAAACGAAUUGAUCUUUUUCUCCAUGAUGGGAAACACUGUUCAAACCUGAGAGGGUGAGACCGGAUAAUCUCUGCCCGCCGGGUCAGGGUAAUUGCUGGAGCGCUCGUCCCUAAACUGAUGAAACAAAAAGACUCUUGAACCUGUUUGUUUUACUUUAAUCUGGUUUUCCUGUUCGGUUGAUGGUAAAGCAGCUGGUGUUCAUGCUGCUGUCUGAGACUGUGAUGUGAUAGUUUAUCAUUACCAUCCCAGCUGUUCAUUGUUAUUUACUCAGCAGUGGGUUAAUACAUAUUUUAAUAUGUUAAUUAAUCUGAUACUGGUGAGACUUUUCUGUGUUAGUGUUCAGUUUAGUUUCUCAUUCUUGUCAGCUCCAGUUUUUGUGGGUUUCUCUGAAUUUGAUGCCGUUUUCUACCAAGUUAAAAGGUAUCAUGCAUUAUUUGUCUAAUUUUUUAAUAUUGAUAUUUUCUUUGUUACUAACAGAACUAGAAAUAUUUCAGCUUUUGUAACCGUCAUUAAUGUAACUACAGUACUUGAAUAUAGUUUUAAAAAGCACUUUGAACGUGUUUAUAGUUUCACAACCACAAAUCAAUACUGGAACUCUUUUUGUUGUAUAACUAAACCAUUGGAGAACAUGAUUUAAACCAGUGAAAGCCAAUGAGUAUUAUUGAUUGGUGAUAUUCAGCAUGCUGUUUGGAUCUGCUUUGACCCCUCUGUAGGUCAGGCUCCAGCUACGUCCCACCGGCCAUCAUGGAGGUUUCAGAGAUCUAGAGAUUCCUAGUGUGAGCGAGCCACAUCCAAAGUCCUGAUACUGACCUCUGACCGUGACGAAGGACUCCAUCAUUCCCCUUUCCUGUGUGGUAGGACAGAACAAACACGCACUGACACGGAUCUGAAGAACCGAAAAAGGGCUCCAACACGAACUUUGGGACAGAGGGGGUUAUUUUUCUGGCUUUAUUGUUGUACUUUGUGAUUUUUCAUCGAAUGUCUUGAAACAAACUGUUGUAUUUUCAUUGUGUUAUUGGUUAUAAAUAACAAAACUCAAACCAUU